CCUACGGGAGGCAGCAGUGGGGAAUAUUGGACAAUGGAGGCAACUCUGAUCCAGCAAUGCCGCGUGUGUGAUGAAGGCCCUAGGGUUGUAAAGCACUUUCAACGGUGAAGAUGAUGACGGUAGCCGUAGAAGAAGCCCCGGCUAACUUCGUGCCAGCAGCCGCGGUAAUACGAAGGGGGCGAGCGUUAUUCGGAAUUAUUGGGCGUAAAGGGCUCGCAGGCUGCUUGAACAGUUAGACGUGAAAUCCCCGGGCUUAACCUGGGAACUGCGUUUAAUACUAGCAAGCUAGAGAAAUAGAGAGGAAAGUGGAACUCCCAGUGUAGAGGUGAAAUUCGUAGAUAUUGGGAAGAACACCAGUGGCGAAAGCGACUUUCUGGCUAUUUUCUGACGCUGAGGAGCGAAAGCGUGGGGAGCAAACAGGAUUAGAUACCCUGGUAGUCCACGCCGUAAACGAUGUGUGCUAGAUGUUGGAGGGUUACCUUUCAGUGUCGCAGCUAACGCACUAAGCACACCGCCUGGGAAGUACGGUCGCAAGAUUAAAACUCAAAGGAAUUGACGG
rnacentral:rRNA from 1 species